ACCNCAGGAGNCUNCAGNGCNGAAUANUGAACAAUGAGAAAGCCUGNCGCAGNGGCNCGCGNCNGAGGAAGUCAUNCNUUGUAAUCCCCUGUCAGCUCUGGGGAAGCGGGGGUGACGGUAGGGGCAGAAGAAGCGCCGGCCAACUACGUGCCAGCAGCCGCGGUAAGACGUAGGGCGCAAGCGUUGUCCGGAUUUAUUGGGCGUAAAGAGCUCGUAGGCGGCCUGUCGCGUCAAUCGUGAAAUCCUGCGGCUUAACUGUGGGGUUGCGGUUGAUACGGGCGGGCUGGAGUUCGGUAGGGGAGACUGGAAUUCCUGGUGUAGCGGUGAAAUGCGCAGAUAUCAGGAGGAACACCGGUGGCGAAGGCGGGUCUCUGGGCCGUUACUGACGCUGAGGAGCGAAAGCGUGGGGAGCGAACAGGAUUAGAUACCCUGGUAGUCCAUGCUGUAAACGUUGGGCGCUAGGUGUGGGGCCUUCCCGGGUUUCUGUGCCGUAGCUAACGCAUAAGCNCCCNG
rnacentral:rRNA from 1 species